GUCCAGUCAUAGCAAGGAUUGACAGACUGAGAGCUCUUUCUUGAUUCUAUGGGUGGUGGUGCAUGGCCAUUCUUAGUUGGUGGAGUGAUUGGUCUGUUUAAUUCCUUUAAUGAACGAAACCUCAGCCUGCUAACUAGCUAUGCAGAGCCAUCCCUCCGCAGCUAGCUUCUUAGAGGGACUAUCGCCAUUUAGUCGACGGAAGUUUGACGCAAUAACAGGUCUGUGAUGCCCUUAGAUGUU
rnacentral:rRNA from 1 species